rnacentral:rRNA from 1 species
CGUUCAGGGGUAAACCUGUGAAACUCGAAUGAACGAACGGGGAGAUUCAUCGUCAUUCGAAGGGCGGCGCUGGUGUCGUGCGAUGGAUUGCCCUCCGGCGGCUUCGGUCGUCCGGUGUGAGUUUUUCACGCGCGCGCCUUGCGCAGUCGGCCCUUCGAGGUCGUGCACUUCUCCCUUAGUAAUGCAUCGCGACCCGCUCGAUACCGAUCUAAGCCCCGUUCGGGUGCCCGCUGCGCAUUCACGUGCGCGACGGACCGUGACGGUGGCCGACCGGUUGUUGGGCGGUAUUAGACGCGAAACACGCACGCGCUCGUCGCGUCCGGCCCGACGCAAGGUCGUCGCGAAACCAGCGCUUCGCCUGAGUGCGAGCGUCCGGUUUCCGGCGCCUGCUUCUGGCAGCCGUGCCGUCUCGGACGUGCGUGUAUCCAGUCAUGCGAUGUUUUUGUUUCGGGCACUCACAGGACCCGUCUUGAAACACGGACCAAGGAGUCUAGCAUGUGUGCGAGUCACUAGGUUUUAAAACCGAAAGGCGCAACGAAAGUGAAGGUGAACGCUUGCCGUUCGCUCGGGGAGGAUGGCGGUUGGCUCUCAAGGUCGCCGCCCGCACUCCCGAGGCGUCCCGUUCGCAAUCUGUCGAUGYGGGCGCGCUCAGAGCACAGAUGCUGGGACCCGAAAGAUGGUGAACUAUGCCUGGUCAGGUCGAAGUCAGGGGAAACCCUGAUGGAGGACCGUAGCGAUUCUGACGUGCAAAUCGAUCGUCGGAACUGGGUAUAGGGGCGAAAGACUAAUCGAACCAUC